GGCGUUAGUAUGAGUGUCGAACAGCCUCCAGGACCCCCCCUCCCGGGAGAGCCAUAGUGGUCUGCGGAACCGGUGAGUACACCGGAAUUGCCGGGAUGACCGGGUCCUUUCUUGGAUUAACCCGCUCAAUGCCCGGAGAUUUGGGCGUGCCCCCGCGAGACUGCUAGCCGAGUAGUGUUGGGUCGCGAAAGG
rnacentral:other from 1 species